rnacentral:lncRNA from 1 species
UGCGCCUUGGAGGACAGCGGUCCCCACACCCGGGGGCUCGGGGCUGGGCCGGGCUGCGCGCCGGGGAGGGCCACCCGCCGGGCUCCUCAGGCCUGGGACCCCGGCGGGGGCGGACCGUCCCAUCCCCAAGGGAAGGGGUGUCGCCCAGUCUGGCUCCUCGGGGCCGCGGCAGCGCCAAGGCCGGGCUGUCACCUCCCUGGGGCGGAGCCUCAUACCCUGUCAUCCAGCCCCCAGUCCUGGCCUGGCUUCAGGAUGGGAGGGGGAUGGGCCUGCAAACCAGGGACAGGUGGGGGGAGGGUGCUGAGAUGCGGACAAGCAUGGCCUGGUGGCCCUGACUCAGGGGGGCAGCUCUGCUGGCAGGAAAGCCCUGGCACACUGGGGACACAGAGGGUCAGCCAGACCAGAGGUCCUGCCAGGUGAGCGCCCAGCUCGCUGCUUUUCCAAGCUCACCUUGGAGCGUGCUCCCCUAGCCUGUGAGGAGGUGGAGACCCUGUACCACUGUCUGAGCCACCCACCCCCCACCCACCCCUAGCCUCUCCAGACUGGGCACCCAGAGAAGCCGCUGGCCCAAGUCUGAACGUGGGCCUGGUACAGAGGGGUGGACCCCAGCUCAGCCUGCAUGCGGGGGCAUGGAACCUCAGGUUUCCAUGGAGCUCUCCUGUGAUGCUGUGGGGAGGGCCUGCCUGAGAACUGCGGGUGGCAGGGGCUCGAUCCACCCACCGCCCUGCCUCCCCUGCUGGCGGCCUCCUGGCCUGCUGCGCCGCUCAGGGACCUGGAGGCAGCCUUGAGCUCCUUGAGCUCACACACCCCCACGUGGUCCGGCAGCCAGCGCCUGGUUUCUGCUGCCGUGCGCUCACUGCAAAGAUGGAGGGGUCGCUCUCCUGGCCUUGUCAUGGUAGCCCCAAAGAGCUUGGUGGGUUUCAACCACUCCAAAAAGGGGGAGAGUCAGAGGCCGUUCCUGCAAAGCAGGAGGAGCUCUGGGCCCAGGCAUGCUCCAGAAGCACAGCUGUGGCUAGGGCCACAUGUAGACUGGGGGCAGGGCAGCAAGCCCGUGAGCCCCCGGGCCACGCCUGGGCCUGACGGGGCCACUUUAGGGCCCACAGGGGCCUCUGCGCUGGGCCUUGACACAGCGCUGGAGGACCGCUGCAUGUCCAGCCGCGCCAGUUGUGGGGGUGGGGGCUGCAGGAGGCUGGCUACAGUUGCUUAAGGCUGGGGCCAGGGGCUUCAGACUGCAGCAUGGGGGGAUUUCUCUGCACCAGGCGUUAGGAGGGGGCUUCAUCACCUGCUUUAUAGGAGCCAGCACCUUAAAGCAGUCUGUGAAGGCCCCCAAUGAGCACAGUUGUCCCACCUGUGGGCACCAGUAGGGUGGUCCUGGGGCACUCUCUUCCUACCCCACUGCUGGCCUGUCCCUGAAAAGGGGGUCUACCCCAGCCUGCCAGUGGUCACUGGUGAGCACAGGAGCUCAGGGAUUGCUGCAAUGACGUCCCCUUUCUGGUCACUCACCUCCUCCCAGCAGAAAGUGGCCCAGAAAGGAUGGUGUGGAGGAGGGGGCAGGACCCGAGUGGCUGGACAGCUGGGCGCCCCCUGCAGGUGCCUGGGACGCCGGCAUGGAACACAGGCCUGUGGCCGCAGGCCUUGGCUGCCUCCCGGGCCGUGCCCCAGGUAAGCUGGGCCAGCACUGGGGGUUAGCGGGGCCUGGGCUGCAGAGGGGCCGCCCUGACCCGCGUCUCCCCUCAGGGCGAAAGCCCCGAAAGGCCGAGUGAGCUGACGCCUGGAGACUUCUUUUAAGAUGACCCGCACCGACCCGCCGGAUCUGCUGGUGUCGACCGUGUACCAGGACAUCAAGGUGGCGGCCCCGGGGCCCGUGUCGAGGCCCCCGCCAUGUGAGGGCCCCAUGGCCCGGCCUGCAGCGCCCGCGCCUUUCAAUA